GCCCGGCUGGCACAAUUGGUUAGCGCGUGAGACUCUUAAUCUCAAGGUUGAGGGGUAAGCUAGCAUCAAUAGGAAAGCGCCGAGACAAUUGACUAACGACUUUCAACGAAGUUCGAGUCCCUCGUCGGGCU